CCAAUAGCGUAUAUUAAAGUUGUUGCAGUUAAAAAGCUCGUAGUUGAAUUUCGGGAUUGGCACAUCGGUCGUGCCUUAAGGGGUGUGAACUGGUGUAGUCAAUUUCUCACCUUCUGGAGAACCACGAUGCCCUUAAUUGGGUGUCGCGGGGAACCAGGACCUUUACUUUGAAAAAAUUAGAGUGUUUAAAGCAGGCAUUUUGCUUGAAUACAUUAGCAUGGAAUAAUAAAAUAGGACGGCAUGAUUCUAUUUUGUUGGUUUCUAGGAUCACCGUAAUGAUUAAUAGGGAUAGUUGGGGGCAUUAGUAUUCAAUUGUCAGAGGUGAAAUUCUUGGAUUUAUUGAAGACUAACUACUGCGAAAGCAUUUGCCAAGGAUGUUUUCAUUAAUCAAGAACGAAAGUUAGGGGAUCGAAGACGAUCAGAUACCGUCGUAGUCUUAACCAUAAACUAUGCCGACUAGGAAUCAGACGAUGUUAAUUUUUUAAUGACUCGUUUGGCACCUUAC
rnacentral:rRNA from 1 species